rnacentral:rRNA from 1 species
AGAGUUUGAUCAUGGCUCAGAUUGAACGCUGGCGGCAGGCUUAACACAUGCAAGUCGAGCGGUAGCAGGGAGAAAGCUUGCUUUCUCCGCUGACGAGCGGCGGACGGGUGAGUAAUGUCUGGGGAUCUGCCUGAUGGAGGGGGAUAACUACUGGAAACGGUAGCUAAUACCGCAUAACGUCGCAAGACCAAAGUGGGGGACCUUCGGGCCUCAUGCCAUCAGAUGAACCCAGAUGGGAUUAGCUAGUAGGUGAGGUAAUGGCUCACCUAGGCGACGAUCCCUAGCUGGUCUGAGAGGAUGACCAGCCACACUGGAACUGAGACACGGUCCAGACUCCUACGGGAGGCAGCAGUGGGGAAUAUUGCACAAUGGGCGCAGGCCUGAUGCAGCCAUGCCGCGUGUAUGAAGAAGGCCUUCGGGUUGUAAGGUACUUUCAGUAGGGGGGAAGGUGUACGUGUUAAUAGCACGUGCAAUUGACGUUACCUACAGAAGAAGCACCGGCUAACUCCGUGCCAGCAGCCGCGGUAAUACGGAGGGUGCAAGCGUUAAUCGGAAUUACUGGGCGUAAAGCGCACGCAGGCGGUUUGUUAAGUUGGAUGUGAAAUCCCCGGGCUUAACCUGGGAACUGCAUCCAAGACUGGCAAGCUAGAGUCUCGUAGAGGGAGGUAGAAUUCCAGGUGUAGCGGUGAAAUGCGUAGAGAUCUGGAGGAAUACCGGUGGCGAAGGCGGCCUCCUGGACGAAGACUGACGCUCAGGUGCGAAAGCGUGGGGAGCAAACAGGAUUAGAUACCCUG